CAGAUUAGUGUAGGUUGAGUUUACGCUCGCGUUGAGGAGCUAAGUUAGUUUUUAUAGUUGAGUUAGUCUGUGUUGGACUACUGGGUGCCGCCGGGACGGAUGGUGGACACAGAUUUUUGUAUCUUGCAUCAGAUUGUGCCAAGGGCACGUGAGAUUUGGUUGUUAGACCAGUUUGACCCAUUUGCAUUGACUAUAGCCUGUGAGAGCCUGAUUGA
rnacentral:lncRNA from 1 species